GAUGAACGCUGGCGGCGUGCUUAACACAUGCAAGUCGAACGGAAGGGCCCAAGCUUGCUUGGGUACUCGAGUGGCGAACGGGUGAGUAACACGUGGGUGAUCUGCCCUGCACUUCGGGAUAAGCCUGGGAAACUGGGUCUAAUACCGGAUAGGACCACAUUUUGGAUGGUGUGGUGGAAAGUUUUUCGGUGUGGGAUGAGCUCGCGGCCUAUCAGCUUGUUGGUGGGGUAAUGGCCUACCAAGGCGUCGACGGGUAGCCGGCCUGAGAGGGUGUACGGCCACAUUGGGACUGAGAUACGGCCCAGACUCCUACGGGAGGCAGCAGUGGGGAAUAUUGCACAAUGGGCGCAAGCCUGAUGCAGCGACGCCGCGGGGGGGAUGACGGCCUUCGGGUUGUAAACUCCUUUCGCUAGGGACGAAGCGUUAUGUGACGGUACCUGGAGAAGAAGCACCGGCUAACUACGUG
rnacentral:rRNA from 1 species